UACAGAGGCCCCAAGCGUUGUUCGGAUUCACUGGGCGUAAAGGGUGCGUAGGCGGUCGGGUAAGUCUGACGUGAAAUCUUCAAGCUCAACUUGGAAACUGCGUCGGAUACUAUUCGGCUAGAGGAAUGGAGGGGAGACUGGAAUACUUGGUGUAGCAGUGAAAUGCGUAGAUAUCAAGUGGAACACCAGUGGCGAAGGCGAGUCUCUGGACAUUUCCUGACGCUGAGGCACGAAAGCCAGGGGAGCAAACGGG
rnacentral:rRNA from 1 species